rnacentral:rRNA from 1 species
GACGAACGCUGGCGGCGUGCUUAACACAUGCAAGUCGAACGAAAAGGCCCUACUUUUGUGGGGUGCUCGUGUGGCGCACGGGUGAGUAACACGUGAGUAAACUGCCCUUGAAUUUGGGAUAACUUCAGGAAAAUGGGGCUAAUACCGGGUAGGAGCUCCUGCUGCAUGGGGGGGGUUGGAAAGUUUCGGCGGUUGGGGAUGGACUCGCGGCUUAUCAGCUUGUUGGUGGGGUAGUGGCUGACGAAGGGUGUGACGGGUAGCCGGCAUGAGAGGGUGACCGGCCACAUUGGGACUGAGAGACGGCGCAGAAGCGUACGGGAGGCAGCAGUGGGGAAUAUUGCACAAUGGGCGGAAGCCUGAUGCAGCAACGCCGCGUGCGUGAUGACGUCCUUCGGGGUGUAAACCGCUGUCGCCUGUGACGAAGCGUGAUUGACGGUAACGGGUAAAGAAGCACCGGCUAACUACGUG